CGAGGCUGGGCUCGUGAACACACAGUGACAGCUCUAAGGCAGGCGGCGGCACCAUCCCCGCUUCCCCUCGGCGGCGGGGUGUCCCGCCAGCGGCCCUGAAGUGACCCAUAAACAUGUCUUGUGAGAGGAAAGGCCUCUCGGAGCUGCGAUCGGAGCUCUACUUCCUCAUCGCCCGGUUCCUGGAAGAUGGACCCUGUCAGCAGGCGGCUCAGGUGCUGAUCCGCAAGGUGGCCGAGAAGGAGCUGCUGCCCUGCCGCACCGACUGGACCGGGAAGGAGCAUCCCAGGACCUACCAGAAUCUGGUGAAGUAUUACAGACAUUUAGCACCUGAUCACUUGCUGCAAAUAUGUCAUCGGCUAGGACCUCUUCUUGAACAAGAAAUUCCACAAAGCGUUCCUGGAGUACAAACUUUAUUAGGAGCUGGAAGACAGUCCUUGCUACGCACAAAUAAAAGCUGCAAGCAUGUUGUGUGGAAAGGAUCUGCUCUGGCUGCAUUGCAUUGUGGAAGACCACCCGAGUCACCAAUUAACUAUGGUAGCCCACCCAGCAUUGUUGACUCCCAAAAUAAAAAUAAAGAUUUAAACCCAGUUUAGAAAGACUCAGAAAAAAAAAAAGAAAAAAACUAUGUUUAAGAGAGCAGCCAAGAUGCCCUUCAAGAGAUGAAUGGAUAAAGA